UACGUAGGGUCCAAGCGUUGUCCGGAUUUAUUGGGCGUAAAGAGCUCGUAGGCGGCUCAGUAAGUCGGAUGUGAAAACUCGGGGCUCAACCCCGAGACGCCAUCCGAUACUGCUGUGGCUUGAGUCUGGUAGGGGAACACGGAAUUCCUGGUGUAGCGGUGGAAUGCGCAGAUAUCAGGAGGAACACCGAUGGCGAAGGCGGGUCACUGGGCCGCAACUGACGCUGAGGAGCGAAAGCAUGGGGAGCGAACAGG
rnacentral:rRNA from 1 species